UAAUACCGGAUGUGAUCNCUGGAGGACAUCCUCUGAUGAUUAAAGUUGGGGACCGUANGGCCUGACNCUUCAUGAUGAACCCGCGGCCUAUCAGCUAGUUGGUGAGGUAACGGCUCACCAAGGCUAANACGGGUAGCUGGUCUGANAGGACGACCAGCCACACUGGGACUGANACACNGCCCANACUCCUACGGGAGGCAGCAGUGGGGAAUCUUGCNCNAUGGGCGAAAGCCUGAUGCANCANCGCCNCGUGCGGGAAGAAGGCCUUAGGGUUGUAAACCGCUUUCAGCANGGAANAAAAUGACGG
rnacentral:rRNA from 1 species